UGUUGGUUCUCCCGCAACACUAACUUGUUAACUCGGUCAGGUCCGGAAGGAAGCAGCCAUGGCAGGUGUCGUGUGUGCUGGGAUGUCGCUGGCAAGG
rnacentral:SRP_RNA from 1 species